GCUGCUCCCCACCUCCAGGGAACUUCCCGGAGGUGGGUUGGUGCUUUCGGGAACUCUGAGACAGGUGCUGCAUGGCUGUCGUCAGCUCGUGUUGUGAAAUGUUGGGUUAAUUCCCGUAACGAGCGCAACCCUUAUCCUUAUUUGCCAGCGAGUAAUGUCGGGAACUCUAAGGAGACUGCCGGUGGCAAACCGGAGGAAGGUGGGGAUGACGUCAAGUCAUCAUGGCCCUUACGAGUAGGGCUACACACGUGCUACAAUGGCCGGUACAGAGGGCUGCAAACUCGCGAGAGCAAGCUAAUCUCACAAAACCGGUCGUAGUCCGGAUCGCAGUCUGCAACUCGACUGCGUGAAGUCGGAAUCGCUAGUAAUCGUGAAUCAGAAUGUCACGGUGAAUACGUUCCCGGGCCUUGUA
rnacentral:rRNA from 1 species